UACGGAAGGCAGCAGUGGGGAAUAUUGCACAAUGGGCGCAAGCCUGAUGCAGCCAUGCCGCGUGUAUGAAGAAGGCCUUCGGGUUGUAAAGUACUUUCAGCGGGGAGGAAGGCGAUGUGGUUAAUAACCGCAUCGAUUGACGUUACCCGCAGAAGAAGCACCGGCUAACUCCGUGCCAGCAGCCGCGGUAAUACGGAGGGUGCAAGCGUUAAUCGGAAUUACUGGGCGUAAAGCGCACGCAGGCGGUCUGUCAAGUCGGAUGUGAAAUCCCCGGGCUUAACCUGGGAACUGCAUUCGAAACUGGCAGGCUAGAGUCUUGUAGAGGGGGUAGAAUUCCAGGUGUAGCGGUGAAAUGCGUAGAGAUCUGGAGGAAUACCGGUGGCGAAGGCGGCCCCUGGACAAAGACUGACGCUCAGGGUGCGAAAGCGUGGGGAGCAAACAGGAUUAGAUAACC
rnacentral:rRNA from 1 species